rnacentral:lncRNA from 1 species
AGAAUUGAAUAUCCAAACCCCUAUCUAGUUAGUGUGCUUCUUAGAAUACAAAUAGAAUUACAAAAUGUUUCAGUAAUCAAAAAGGGACAGCAUCGGCAAACAGUUGACAUCAAAAUUGUCUGCUCAUCAAAGAGGAAUGACAGAUCCUCCUUCAUCAACAUGUUUUCCUUAGGAAUGGUGCCAGGAUGCAGGGCAUAAGUGAGAGGACAGUUCCCUUGGUUAUGAGGUAACUAAAAAUAGCCACCUUUGAAAGCCAUCAGAGGUCACUUGUUUUGAAGAAAAUCAUCAGAAGAACUUUGAACUAUAAGAUAUUGACUAUUAAAUCAUGUUAUUUUCUUCAUUUGUCAAAGUUAUUGGGAUGUAGCAAAUACUUGAGACUUUGAAUUGAGUAGAUUUUGAGUAGAUUUAUGAAUGAAAUCAAAGGACACACAAAAACAGUGUAAUUCACCCAUCUGGAGACUCCACGUAUGAGUUUGAAAACUUUUAGUAUGUAUGCCAAUUAGUCCAUCCAGCCAAAUAGGCACAACAAUUUUCCGAUAAUAAGAAAAAUAAGACCAAGAAGCUAGCUGGAAUACUAAGAAAAACAACAGAGGGAGUUAAAUUCUUCAUUAAAAUUGACCACUUCUAGAGGCCUUGCAGGAAAUAUUAAAAUAAGUUCUUCAAUGAGAAUGAAAAUGAUAUAGGUCAGAAACUUGGAUCUGCAUGAAGAUACACCUUAAAAAAGGAAGAGCAUCAGAAAAAUGAAUAAGUGAAGGUCAAGUGCUGUGCUGUACUGAUUGAUAGAUUGUCUCCAGCAGGAAGUUUGACAAUGGACAACCUAGAAGCAGAUGUGCCUGGUACAUAUCAGGGGUGAUGGAGGUUUCAGGAUUAUGCUGACUGAAAUAUGGAGGCUCUGUAUCUGUAUAUAGCCUGAGGACCUCAACAGAUGCACCUGCCCAAUCUUAAACUUUCCAGCAAUCUGAAUUGUGAGCCAAAUAAUUUUUUUAUAAAUUAUCCAGCUUCAAGUAUUAUACCAACAAAAAAAAGGAAAUGCAAUGAGUCAAUAUACUUACUGAGAUUGCAGAAGAGACUGAACACUGCGCUAGGCUCUGAAGAGAAAGAUGAAAAAGAAGAAAGUGCUCCUGAGUAUAUGACUACUUGUACUUGCUAGCACUGAGGCAAGUACAAACUCUAGGCAUCAGGCUUUUGGUCUCACUCUUAGCGAAUUUGAACACUGGCUUUUUUGUUGGGCUUCCAUUCUUCUCUCAGCGCAAGAAUACCAACGUUUAUGACCCAGGAAGCACCAACUUAUACUUCACAGAGCUAAGAAACAGCAUUUCGCCAUGUCACGCAGGCUGGUCUUCAACUCCUGGACUCAAGCUAUCCACGGGCCUCGGCCUCCCAAAGUGCUAGGAUUACAGGCAUGAGCCACUAUGUCCGGCUUGGAGUUUUUAGUCUCAUCAAACCAACUCACCCAAAUGUCCCUUGGUGACAAAAAGUUUUCUGAAAGAUUAAGUAAUCUUUGUUUCCCAAGCCUGACAAAAUAAAAAGUUUUCUGUCUCUC